rnacentral:tRNA from 1 species
GCGCCUGUAGCUCAGCAGGAUAGAGCAACGGCCUUCUAAGCCGUGUGUCGGGGGUUCGAGUCCCUUCAGGUGCGCCA